rnacentral:rRNA from 1 species
UACGAAGGGGGCUAGCGUUGCUCGGAAUUACUGGGCGUAAAGCGCACGUAGGCGGAUUGUUAAGUCGGGGGUGAAAUCCUGGAGCUCAACUCCAGAACUGCCUUCGAUACUGGCGAGCUCGAGUUCGGGAGAGGUGAGUGGAACUGCGAGUGUAGAGGUGAAAUUCGUAGAUAUUCGCAAGAACACCAGUGGCGAAGGCGGCUCACUGGCCCGAUACUGACGCUGAGGUGCGAAAGCGUGGGGAGCAAACAGG